AGCAGUUCCAUGGAGGAGCAGCCAGGAAUCCUUCUGCUGAGUUUAUAUGGAUUAAUGGAUUAUUAUGAUAAUCUACAGGAAACGAGGACACACCCAGAUAACGGUAUACUGGGACUGAGUUCAAGUGAAACACGGAAACGAGUGUAGAGAAGAUGGCGGCAGUGAACGCGGCGAUGGUGUGGGGGGUUCUGGUCUCUGCUCGCUUCAUCUCCAUCUCUGCUGAUUAGAACGAUGUGGUAAACAACUUGUAUCCUCAGAAAAGCAGACGUCGGUCUCCGCCAGUCACGUGACAUUUGUUGCUAAGACGCCAUUUUUGGUGGAAAAGGCGUUGUGUAAAUAACCGCAGCAUAGCUAAAGGAAGGACUAAAGGAUUUAGUUUGUUUCUCUGACUAUAUGGAAAAAAGUAAGCAGAAUGCGAAAUUACCGUACCUCCAUUUUCUAUUUCAUUUUUAUUACAAGUAUAUGGUUUACAACAGUUUCCAAUGGGAUGAGAACAUUUGGACACUGUGUAACAA